rnacentral:rRNA from 1 species
GUAGCAUAAUCAUUAGGGGUUUAAUUGGAACCUGGUAUGAAGGGUUGGACAAAGGAAAAACUGUCUUUCUGAUAUAAGUUGAAAUUUACUUUUAAGUGAAAAGGCUUAAAUUAAUCAAAGGGACGAUAAGACCCUAUAAAGCUUUAUAAAUAAUUUAAAUUUAAUUGAUUUAUUAAUUAAAGGUUGAAUUUAACUAUUUUAUUUUGUUGGGGUGAUGUGAGUAUAAGUUAUAUUAACUGCUUAAAAGAAAUUCUAUCAUAAAAGAGUCUAUAGUGUAGAUGAUCCUUUAUAAAGAUUAAAAGACUAAGUUACUUUAGGGGUAACAGCGUUAUUUCUUUUGAGAGUUCAUAUCGAAAAAGAAGAUUGCGACCUCGAUGUUGAAUUAAAAUGUCUAUAUAAUGCAGUCGUUAUAAGAGAGGGUCUGUUCGACCUUUAAAGUUUU